rnacentral:rRNA from 1 species
GACGAACGCUGGCGGCGCGCUUAACUCAUGCAAGUCGAACGGAAAGGCCUGCUUUCCCUUGUGGAUUGCGGGUACUCGAGUGGCGAACGGGUGAGUAACACGUGAGUGAUCUGCCCCCAACUUGGGUAUAAGCCUGGGAAACUGGGUCUAAUUCCCGAUAGGACUGCAGGGUGGUGCCUGUGGUGGAAAACGAUUUUCUAGUGGUUGGGGAUGAGCUCGCGGCCUAUCAGCUUGUUGGUGGGGUAAUGGCCUACCAAGGCGGCGACGGGUAGCCGGCCUGGGAGGGUGGACGGCCACAUUGGGACUGAGAUACGGCCCAGACUCCUACGGGAGGCAGCAGUGGGGAAUAUUGCACAAUGGGCGGAAGCCUGAUGCAGCGACGCCGCGUGGGGGAUGACGGCCUUCGGGUUGUAAACUCCUUUCGACCGCGAGGAAGCCACCUGGUUGGAAGGGUGGUGACGGUAGUGGUAGAAGAAGCACCGGCUAACUACGUG